rnacentral:rRNA from 1 species
GAUGAACGCUGGCGGCGUGCCUAAUACAUGCAAGUCGAGCGAACCGACGAGGAGGUUGCUCCUCUGACGUUAGCGCCGGACGGGUGAGUAACACGUUGAUAACCUCUCUAUAAGACUGGAGUAACUUCGGGAAACCGGCGCUCGUGCAGGGUAAUAUAUUGAAACGCACGGUUCACUAGUGAUAGACGAUUUUGCUGUCACAUAUAGCUGGAUGCGCGCCGCAUUAGCUAGUUGUUAAGGUAACGGCUUACCAAGGCGGCUAUGCUAAGCGCACAUGAAGGGGACAUCGACCACAUGGGAACUGAGGCACGGCCCAGACUCCGACAGGAGGCAGCGGUAGGGAAUCUUCCGGGAUGGGCGAAUGCCGGACGUUGCAACGCCGCGUGAAUGAUGAAGCUCUUAGGAUCGGAAAACGCUGUUAGUAGGGAAGAAGAAAAGUGUAAGUAACUAUGCACAUCUUGACGGUACCGAAACAGAAAGCCACGGCUAACUACGUG